rnacentral:rRNA from 1 species
CCUACGGGUGGCAGCAGUGGGGAAUAUUGGGCAAUGGGCGCAAGCCUGACCCAGCAACGCCGCGUGAAGGAAGAAGGCUUUCGGGUUGUAAACUUCUUUUCUGAGGGACGAAGAAAGUGACGGUACCUCAGGAAUAAGCCACGGCUAACUACGUGCCAGCAGCCGCGGUAAUACGUAGGUGGCAAGCGUUAUCCGGAUUUAUUGGGUGUAAAGGGCGUGUAGGCGGGAAAGCAAGUCAGAUGUGAAAACUCAGGGCUCAACCCUGAGCCUGCAUUUGAAACUGUUGAACUGGAGUACAGGAGAGGUGAGCGGAAUUCCUAGUGUAGCGGUGAAAUGCGUAGAUAUUAGGAGGAACACCAGUGGCGAAGGCGACUUUCUGGACUGUACCUGACGCUGAGGCGCGAAAGCGUGGGUAGCGAACGGGAUUAGAUACCCGAGUAGUC